CCGUCAAGAAAACAUUAAAUCCUGAAGUAGACCUACCCCCUCCGCCGCCCCCUUCCCCAAUACGUCUCCACGGCGGCGGCCUCCCUCCGAUCCGGUUCCUUCUGCGGGCGGGCCGAGCAUUUCUACCCACCGCCGAAUCGGCGAGGAUCUCGGGCACCGGAUUGGCCGCCGGCGGGGAGCGGCGACUAUCCCAACAUCACCAACAUCGCUAUGGCCACAGCGAAGCUCCGUUUCCCCGACUAGCGCUGUUGGCUCGCUUGGUCGCAUCCUACACGACCCACGGCCGGCGACGACCACCUGCGGUUGGAGCCUCCUCUCCAACCUAGUUCGUCGUCUCCAGUGAAGGAGCAUACACAUAGAGGUAAUGGAGGCAAGGCUUUGCUAGACGCAGAGGAGUGCCAAAAUAAGCUGUACUCUUUGGGAAGCUCAGGUCUAUACAGCCUACAGGAUACCGGAUUGCCAUUAUUGUAUAUCCGUCUUUCAUAGUUGUUUUGCAAAGUGCUUGAAUUUUAGGGAACUCCAGAGUACAUAUUUAGUCCUCACUAGAUGUUCUUAGAGCUUGCAAAGGCAGAAGCAGACAAAGUUGAGAUGAUGAAGAGCUUAGAAACAAGUUGUGACUUCAGGUUGCGAAGCUGGGGAACCCUUUUGGUCUUAAUCUAUGGCGAAGCUGAUUUGUCAUAUUUCGUUUUAGAUAGACCUGUUUAGGACAAGCAACCUACACUAUGCAUUAAGUUUGUCUCUGUGAAUCCCUUAUAGCUAAGUUCCAUUGAGUUGUGUAAACAUAUGCCCGUUGUACACUUUAUACAAGAGAAGGCUAACAUGAACAAUGAAACUUGUCCGUUAUAUCGAAGUUUCGUUGAGUUC